rnacentral:tRNA from 1 species
GCCUGGGUGGCUCAGUCGGUUAAGCGUCCGACUUUGGCUCAGGUCAUGAUCUCGCGGUCUGUGGGUUCGAGCCCCACGUCAGGCU